AUUGUUGUCUGGUCAUUUGUAAGUUACACAUUGCUGCAAGAGCUUUCAAUCUAGAAAUACUAAUUGCUAAUUGUUUCCCCCUGAUGAUCACAAUUAGUUACCAUAUAAGUAGAACUGUGUUUGAGACUUUGCACUGUUCAAAUAUGGAGCAGGAUAGACUCGUAGGGAGAGGAAACCUUCAUCGGAGAGGUGGUGGUGCUCCUCGACAGAGAGGUGGUCUUCAGAGAAAUGUAGGCAGAAGACAACGCACCAUCAUCUCUAAUGAAGUCCGGGCCAUCAUUGUUGACCAUGUGGUUAACAGAGGCUUUACCAUGGCUGAGGCUGCCAGGUUGGUACAGCCUAAAGGUCAACUGUCAGCUCUGUCAUCAGAACUUUUCGCCAAGAAAACCGAAUUAACAGGAGACAACCUGGUGGUGGUCGCCCACGUGUUUUGACUGACCAGCAGGAGUUGGCUGUGGUGGAAAUGGUCAGGGCAAGGAAUGACAUACGGCUGUCUGAAAUCAAACAGGCUAUUGAGAACAGCAAUGACACCUUUGCCAAUGUGCCAUCAAUUAGCCUUCCAACGAUUGCCCGGCUUUUGAAGAAGCACCAGGUUUCCAUGAAACAAAUUUACUUGGUUCCUUUUGAGAGGAACAAUGUCCGGGUGAAACAAUGUCCGGGUGAAACAACUGCGUUCAGAAUAUAUUCAGAGGGUGAUGGAGCUGGACGCUGCUGUGAAUCAUCACAAGUAUAUUUUUGUUGAUGAGGCCGGUUUCAAUCUGGCAAAAACUAGACGCAGAGGACGUAACCUUAUUGGACAAAGGGCUACCAUCCAAGUCCCUGGACAACGUGGGGGAAACAUCUCAAUGUGUGCAGCUAUAUCUGAAGAUGGUGUGGUAGGCUGUAGACCAGUUCUAGGGUCAUACAACACUGAACACCUGAUAGUUUUGUUUUUUUAAAUGAGCUGGAGCAGGCCUGUCAGGGAGAAGACAUCAUCUAUGUUGUUGUGUGGGACAAUGUCAGCUUCCACCAUGCACAGCUGAUUCAGGAAUGGUUUCAAACACAUCCUCGCUUCAUCACCCUCUAUCUUCCACCAUAUUCCCCUUUCCUCAACCCAAUUGAGGAAUUCUUCUCUACGUGGAGGUGGAAGGUGUAUGAUCGCCAUCCCCAUGAGCAUGUCUCCCUUCUUCAAGCCAUGUGUGAAGCUUGUGGUGAUAUAACUGCUGAGCAAUGUCAAGCCUGGAUUCGUCAUGCCAGGAGAUUUUUCCCACGGUGCCUGAACAACGAAGACAUCCCCUGUGAUGUUGAUGAAAAUUUAUGGCCCAAUGUUAACGACCGGCUUGAUUAAUUGUGUGAAAGUGAUAAGAAUAAAAAUAAAUUUUGCUGAU